UACGUAGGGUGCAAGCGUUUAAUCGGAAUUACUGGGCGUAAAGCGUGCGCAGGCGGUUUUGUAAGUCUGUCGUGAAAUCCCCGGGCUCAACCUGGGAAUUGCGAUGGAGACUGCAAGGCUAGAAUCUGGCAGAGGGGGGUAGAAUUCCACGUGUAGCAGUGAAAUGCGUAGAGAUGUGGAGGAACACCGAUGGCGAAGGCAGCCCCCUGGGUCAAGAUUGACGCUCAUGCACGAAAGCGUGGGGAGCAAACAGGAU
rnacentral:rRNA from 1 species